GAACAUGGUACGCCUGUUUUGACUGGUUCAUCUGAUUCUGAUGGAGCUACAAGCAGUUCGAAAGAACAAGAAUCGCCAGAAAUUGGAGGUUUGGCAACCCCGGCAAGCACGUCGUCGUCUCCAACGGCGACGGAAGAAGCGCAACGUCCGCAAACGCCCAUCCGUCUUCGACCAGUGGUGGAUCUAUAUCCAAAGGAAGUGCUUCCAAAAGUAAAUCAUGUGAAAAUUAAAGGAAGAGGACGGCGGUGUCUGCUUAGCGUCGAGGAACCGAUGAAAUUUGAAGAUGCAAACACGGAGGAGUGUUGGCGUCGUACUAUGGACGAGGAGUCGAGAUCGAUCCAAGACAACAAAACAUGGGAGCUCGUGAAUCCACCCCACGACCAUAAAAUCAUAGGGCUCAAGUGGGUGUACAAAGUCAAGAAAGAUGCCGAAGGAAACUUGGUGAAGGAUAAGACAAGGCUCGUAACCAAACGAUACGUGCAAGAGCAAGGUGUAGACUUCGAGGAAGUG
rnacentral:rRNA from 1 species